rnacentral:rRNA from 1 species
UAGCAUAUCAAUAAGCGGAGGAAAAGAAACCAACAGGGAUUGCCUCAGUAACGGCGAGUGAAGCGGCAACAGCUCAAAUUUGAAAUCUGGCUCUUUCAGGGUCCGAGUUGUAAUUUGUAGAGGAUGCUUCGGCGUGGGCCCCGGUCUAAGUUCCUUGGAACAGGACGUCACAGAGGGUGAGAAUCCCGUACGUGGCCGGCGGUGCUCGCCAUGUGAAGCUCCUUCGACGAGUCGAGUUGUUUGGGAAUGCAGCUCUAAAUGGGAGGUAAAUUUCUUCUAAAGCUAAAUACCGGCCAGAGACCGAUAGCGCACAAGUAGAGUGAUCGAAAGAUGAAAAGCACUUUGGAAAGAGAGUCAAAAAGUACGUGAAAUUGUUGAAAGGGAAGCGCUUGCAACCAGACCUGACCGUAGUUGCUCAUCCGGGCUCUUGCCCGGUGCACUCUUCUGCGAGCAGGCCAGCAUCAGUUCUGGCGGUCGGAUAAAGGCGGCGGGAAUGUGGCUCCUCUCGGGGAGUGUUAUAGCCCGCCGUGUCAUGCGGCCAGCCGGGACUGAGGUCCGCGCUUCGGCUAGGAUGCUGGCGUAAUGGUUGUAAGCGGCCCGUCUUGAAACACGGACCAAGGAGUCUAACAUCUGUGCGAGUGUUUGGGUGUCAAGCCCGGGCGCGUAAUGAAAGUGAACGGAGGCGGGAACCUUUGGGUGCACCGUCGACCGAUCCUGAUGUCUUCGGAUGGAUUUGAGUAAGAGCAUAGCUGUUGGGACCCGAAAGAUGGUGAACUAUGCCUGAAUAGGGUGAAGCCAGAGGAAACUCUGGUGGAGGCUCGCAGCGGUUCUGACGUGCAAAUCGAUCGUCAAAUUUGGGCAUAGGGGCGAAAGACUAAUCGAACUAUCUAGUAGCUGGUUCCUGCC